GCUCAGCCGUCAACAAAGACAGUACAAAGUACAAUACUGUUCGCCAGAGAACUACAAGCUAAAGCUAAAAACUCCAAGGACUUGGCGGUGCUCCACAUCAUCCUAGAGGAGCCUGUCCUAUAAUCGAUACCCCCCGAUCCACCUCACCAUUUUUUGAACCUCAGCCUAUAUACCGCCGUCGUCAGCCUACCUUAUGAAAGAAGCAAAGUAAGCGAAAUAGUCACCAACUAGAACGUCAGGUCAAGGUGUAGCACAUAAAAUGGAAGAGAUGGGCUACACUCUCUCCCCCAGAGAACACAAACAGCACCAAUGAAAUACUGCUCAAAGGCGGAUUUAGUAGUAAGAUAAACAAGAGAACUUAUCUUAAACCAGCCCUGGAGCGCGC
rnacentral:rRNA from 1 species